GUCCACGCCGUAAACUUUGAAUACUAGAGACUGGAAGUAUCGACCCUUUCGGUCUCGAAGCUAACGCGUUAAGUAUUCCGCCUGGGUAGUACGACCGCAAGGUUAAAACUCAAAGGAAUUGACGGGAGCCCGCACAAGCGGUGGAGCAUGUGGUUUAAUUCGAUACUGAGCGAAGAACCUUACCUGGGCUUGAAAUCUCCGGAAGUCUGCCGAAAAGGUGGAUGUGCCGCAAGGAACCGGAGUACAGGCACUGCAUGGCUGUCGU
rnacentral:rRNA from 1 species